GUAAACGUUUAAGUACAUGUCAAGGUGGUGGCACAAGGGCUUUUUUUUUUUCGUUAGAAGAAAAUACUACCAGUGUAAUAUAUGAAAUGGGACUUUCCAAUCAAAGUUCUGCUUGUUUGACUCAAUAAAAACAGGAGAUUUACAGGAACAAGGAGGUUUGGCUAUCGUUACAUGAGAGAACGUUACCCAAGGACAAAGAAGUUUCACAGACUUCCCCUGGACCCUUGUUGGUGCCCAGAUGUCUGCGGUUCCCUGUCACUUAAAUAUAAAAGACAAGGCAAAGCUCGCAUAAUUCUAAGAUGGUUCUUUAGGACAUUGGUCUGCUUCUUCUUGGUUUCCUGGCUCCCCAAAAUAAAGUCGCUUUCCUUCCUCCACCUCCUUGUCUCUUGACUUAUUGACGUGAUGUGGCAAGAAGAACAAGUUUGGACUCAGUCACAAUCCAUCCCACACUUCCUCUUCUCCUUCCCUGCUUCCUUUGUCCCCAUGGCAUUUACCACCUUCUAGUGCAUUAAUUUUGUCACGGUGAUUAUUUAUGAUCCGU
rnacentral:lncRNA from 1 species